AUAUAUAGGGCAUGAAAGUAUUAAUUAAUAAUAUCAUGUAAUCAAUAAGAUUAAGGAUCUAUUAUGCAUUUUAUGUUAAAUUAAAAUAAAGUACCAUCAUAACUUACCCACAAAGGGGCGUGUUUGGCACCUAUAUGAAUACCUGACAGCAGUGGUACACAAUUAAUAUGCAGUAAUAAUAUAAGAGUUUUCGAAUUUCUGAGUCAUCACUAGUCUGAGUAAAACCGCUGAAGUAAAAUUGUUUUAAACUAUAAGGUACUAUAACUCGACCAACUAUCCCAUUUAAAAUUUUUGAGGUUAGUUCCACCCUGGCUAAGGGAUGACAGAUGAGAAAAGUAUUAUACUCUGAAAAUGUUUCCCCCUGGCAAUCUAAUUUGACGUAUCCGAGCGUUUCCUUUUUAAACUCUUGUCAAUAAGUCUUGUCUUCUCUUUUUAAAAAUGUCAAUUAUCCUGAAAAUAGCAUUACUCACUUUUUUACUAUUUUUUAUUUUAUUCCUAUUUUAUAUCCACAAUUUCCAAAUUUAUAAAUUUAAUUAAUUUAAAAGAUAAUUUUAACUUUUGGCAACCCAGCCAUUGCUUAUAUUGUGUUGCUACUUUGCAAACCCCAUAUGAACCAUAACUAAACUUGAAGAACGAGCUGUCAGAUCAGAGAACAUAACCUUACUUGUUGUUUGUAGCGGCUUUCGUAAAGUAAAAAGAAGAAAUAUUAAAUUUUUGCAUAUAAACGUCAUUUGCAGCAGAAAAAUCAAAUAGUAAUGUGUAUGUAAUUGAUUCCAUUAAAUAAUUUCGAUUCUGCAGCGAGAAUCCGAGAAAAGGCAGAAAACUAUACACCUUGAGGAUUUCAAUUAUCUUUGCAACAAAUUUACUAGUGACAAGCAAGUUGAAUAGGUAUACAAAUAAGGGCACAAACUGACUUAUUUAAUAAACUAAUUCGCUUUCAAGUUUUAGCAAAAGAGAACCAAUGAAACGAUAUUCAAAGAAAUGUUCUAGAUCUCGACAGAUAAGAAUGUAAAGUAAUUAUAAAGCAGCUAUUAUGAUAAUGUUAAGCCAAUUUUGGCAAUAACAUACUGAUUACAUCAAUAUUUAUAAUAUGGUAAUUUGCUCUACUAAUAGUAAUACACACCAUGUUACUACUAUCAACGACAGUAGCUCUUGGCUUAUCCUACUAUAGUAACAGUAGCUCAUCUAGCGACGCCAAUAGCUCGCGGGCUUUAUAAGGAUGACGGUGCUGACUUCUUACAGUUGAUCCCAGACAUUGUGAUUCUGAUAACAGGUAGUGCCACAGGGCUUUACUAUCGCCACCGUCAUAUUUAAUGCAAUUAUAUAUAACUGUAAUUGAUUGAUUAAUUUAAACACUACUUGUAUUCAGCGUAUAAUAAAUUAAAAAAUUGCUGUCUAGCGCUUUCGGCCGUAGGCCAUCAUCAGGGUUUCAGACAUUGUCAAAGCAUGUAGCGUGGUUUUUUUUUCUGUCGUUGACAAAAUGCUAUAAAUUAAAUUAGUUUACUAAAAUGGAUUCCGUAGAGUUCGUGCUCUAGCAUCAAGUCUACUUAAUUAGGAUCCUUUUUUAGUCGGUUCCUAAGGGCCGUGUUCCAGAGCUCGCACUGAUUUACACGAUGAAGACAAAUGCCAGCUUUCAGUGCUGCCAUCUAUCAGGACUGAAAUUGGAACAUAUUUUACAUCGGCGCGCGGAUUUGCGAGACGCCCCUAGCGAUUGAUGAUCGCAAUUAUUUCCGUUCAAUGAAUUCAAAUUUUUCGUAAUUGAUCGUGCUGAUAUCGAACAGAUUGAAUUAAACAUUUCACAUGGGGGACUUGGAAGCCGAACCUUUUGUUCUUUUUUAGAUGUUUAUUGUGACCUUUAUAGUUCGUUCAACUCUAUUAAAAAACACCUAACUCAAAACCCGGAAAAUCCCGGAAUACAAUUUGUCGCCCUCGGGAAAAACCUUAAAGAAGUUAAGAAUUCUUAUCCGCAAAAGUUGACAGACCCAAGAUGAAAAGUGAAAUUAAAAAAGCGAUUCGAAAACUGUCUACCGCAAGCGCCCUGACUCUAAAUAUUCGCGAGGAAGUUCUUAAAUAGACGAUUUCAAAAAAACACCCCGCGGAAAAAAUGCCGUUUCAUACACGUCCUGUACCCGACAUUCCACUUCAUAUUUAAUUUGGACCUGUCAACGGACGUUUUAUGGCCCAGAGAUGCGAUGCUCCCCUCUCUUUUUCUUUUUGACUUUUUUUUUCUUAUUUCGGCUCUGUCGCUCUCGGCAAGUCGAAACAUGUCGUAGAGAUCAGAGGGGUAGAGAAAUUUUAUUUUUUGACGACUUAUAAUGACUUUAUGUCAGGUAAACCUUAUAGAUAAAAAGUGCAUGCAUACAAGUCAAUCAAUUUAGGUUUAACAAUCAAUUUAUUUAAAAUAAAAAAACUUAAGUAAACUGUGAUCGUUGAUCUACAAAUGAAAACUCCAUGAAUUUAAGUUCGUCGUUUGAAAUUAAAGAAAAUUGAGGCUGGCCUGAGGUGACAGUGAACAUUUUUCUUGCUCCUGCUUUAAUUUUAAUUUUAAUGAAAAAGGAUCAGUGGGCUGUCACGUCAGGGAAACACUCCGCGUGACAAGACAAAUUGGUUCAUUAAGUUAUCACUCCAAUCCGAUUGCGGGUGAAAUGAGGUUUAAUAAAAAUAAAAUUAUUUUGCGAAAUUGAACUGGAACGCAGUUGGUACGAAUAAUUCAUUCGAUAUAUAUAUAUACCGAAGUUAAAGUUUAUUUUAAAUAAAAAUGCCAGCCACGUUCAAAGAUUAUGGCCUGAAAAUCCUGGAGCGAUUCGCCCACCUAAUCCAGGGUUAAAACGGUCAGCAGAAGAAAAUAAAAGUGUCAUCCAGGCGGAGGGUCCAAUUUGAGAAAAUCCCGCGGGCGCUGCAGAAAUCAUGUCUUAGAUAAGAUUGGAAAAGUUUCACACUCUUGAGUGGAACUUAUGGCCUCGUAACUGCUUAUUGAACGAUCCGAGAGUCCAUAAACGUCGUCGUCGCUGAUACCGAACCAGUUUAUGAAUGUACAAGUGGGAAUUUUUUCGAAAUCUCUAUGAGACGAGUUUCAAAUGGAAACACUAGUUUAUCGUUAAUAUGUUUCCACAUAUAUUAAAGUUAUGCGAUUAGAAUUGAUGGCGUAUCAAAAGGUAAACCAUUAAUCAAAGUUCGCGGGCCAUAGAAAUCAAUAGUGAUGGGCCCGUAAUAAUUACGAUUGUUUAUUUAAUGAAAUAUGACGCGCACGGCACUUUCCCAUUAAUCUUUUUUAUGAUCCUGUCAAAGGAGGUAGAAUAUUAACUGGCUGACUGAUGACCAGUUCAUUUUUCAUAUUCACCUUGAGCAAUUAUCUUGUUGCCGAUAUUUUGAUCGCGUGAUCCAAUUUUUCAAGGGAGUACGCUGUUCUUGUCGAAGUUGAGGUCGUUAAGACAUUAACGACCUCAGGGUGAAUAUAUUAAAAAGACUUGAAUAUUUCUUAAUUUACAAGCCUGGAAGAUAAUAAAGUAGCAGAACCUCUCCAUUCAAACCCUUCAGCCAAAACCCUUAGUAAAUCUGACAAGUUUACGUGAUUAAUUCCCAAUGGCAAGUUGAUUACUCCGAAAACGAAAGAGUGAUGCAUAGGCGGGCCUCCGCCCGUUAAUCAGCGACAGGGCGGCAAGAAUUCAAUCGCAAAGUGGGCGGCGACGGGCGGUAGUCAAGGGCCCAUUAUUCUCGAUGCAAAAGCAAUUGGCGAAAAGGUCUGUCGCCAUCUACUGAACGGGUGCCUAAUUUGUCUUUCGAGUUUCCGUUUGUCGCCCUUUAUGGGGGCGCACUUUUUUUUAACACUUGAGGCGCUAAUGGGUGCUCCUCGCCUCGCCUCGCUUUUGUUCGAGAGGACUUCCACGUAACGGUGCUUGUCUCAUAAAAAUUAUGCGCCGCCAUCUGGUUGCAUUUAAUUUAAUGGCAGACAUUCUUAAUGUCAACAGGAUUUUUAUUUUACACUUUAAUCAACAAAAAAUGCGUGAGUUCCAUGAUACCUUCGGAUAAGAAGAAAACGCUCCUCAAAAGAAACCCGAGGGCCACCAACUGAACCAAAUUUAAAGAAGACCUAGUCGAGUCCAUGGGUACUCUAGGUGAAAUUAUAUCCUUCAAAAAAGAACUAGAUACAGUGGUAGUGGCCAGUGGGGCUAAACAGUACAAUUAUCUAGCAUUACGAAGCAGCAUGUCCUGGCAAGAGAGUUAGCCGCAACACUAAGUAAAAUCCGAGCACAGAGUUCUUUCUUAGACUUUUUUUGACUAAGAUAUGUCAGAACAAGCGAUACUUUUACUGCCAUAUCGUUCUACUGUAGCUAUUAUUAAAAAAGCUAGAAAAGGAAAUUCAUGGAGACGUAGCAAAGCAGAGCUUCAAAUCACUUUUUGCUUCACUUAUCGAAUGUACACGAAUUACAGGCCAAAUUAACGAGAAAAAGAGAGAAGCUGGAAAGCUAUAGGCUUCGCAACCUUUUGGAAUAAUUAUGGGAAAUUUGGGAAGAACUGCAAUACGUCGUUAACUCUGUUUUGGGGCAUUGGAACUCCUAUUUAAACUUUUUUAUGCGUUGGAUAUCGUAUACCAUUUGUAAUCCCACCAUAAUUUAUGGGAUUGCAGCAGUCAUUGUUGAAGGAUGGAGACAGAUCAAGGAGAUGAUACCAGAUCAUGACAGCUCUAAAGUAAGGCGACCGCUAACAAAGAGUCGAAAGAAGAUCAAAGAUUUGGCAGGAAUUCUAAUUGGGCAUAGGAUAGUGGAAGCGUAGGACUAGGUAAUUCUGGA